UUUGUAACAUCUGUGAGGGUCACUUAGCAAUGUCAGACACUGAACACUGACAUUAACCGCCCCCCUUCCAGCACCAACAAAUUAGAAAGGCAAAGCAGUUCUCAUAGACGAUCAUAUCAAAGAGACAAGAACAAAGAAACCUGGACAAACCCGUUAACCUAUAUAAUUAAAAUGCAAACAACAGGAAUUCUGCAGAUGCUGGAAAUUCAAGCAACACACAUCAAAGUUGCUGGUGAACGCAGCAGGCCAGGCAGCAUCUGUAGGAAGAGGUACAGUCGACGUUUCAGGCCGAGACCCUUCGUCAGGACGGAUUAUAAUUAAAACGUCUCCGUCUCAAAUAUAGUAUAACACAUAAUCAAGACCCCAACAGCAAGAAACCGUCGCUUAGCGAUGGCACCAGUGACGUCUUAUCUGGUGCCCAGGAACGUAAACAAGUCUGCUGGAGACAUAAAAUUCUAAAGUUAUUCAGAAGAACUGCUUGUUUUUCAGCUUCAUUCUUGAUGAAGUAUUACAUUUGGGUAUAUUGAAUAUCACCUUAAAACUCUGACCUGCAAUACUCAGAAACAAAUUGCCUCCUUAAUUAACUAAAUACAAAGGUGCAACGAAUGACUUUCCAAUAAAAGAAUGACCAGAAAACAUCACACCUAGGAUGUUAACUUGCCCGUGCCCAUUAGAUUACAUUUACAGGCUGGUCCGAGCUCUUAAUGCAGUUCCACCUCCUCCCGAGGAGAGUGUGGACUUUGCCCAGGGGCUUCUUCCAUAUCUCCCAGCACCGAUGAUUUCAGAGCUUCUUUCGCUUCCUCUGCCGAAUUAAACGACAUCUUCAUGCCCUUGAUAUUCACUCUCAAAAUCGCCGGGUAUAUGAGGAACGAGUCGAUCCCCUUCUGCCGAAGCUUAGCGCGGAUCUCCUUGUAUCCCUGCCGUUCCUGCAUCGUGCCGGGGCUGUAGUCGGCGAAGAACUACAGCUGGGUGCCAUCAGGGAGAGUAGGUUUGGCUUUUCUCGCACCCUCCAGGAUAGCCUGCCGGUCAGUGUACCGUAGAAGCCUAAAAACCAUGGUCUGCGUUCUUGAGGUGUUGUUGGAAAAGAUCCUACGUGCUCUAUCGAUCUCCAAUGGAGUGCUGGUGGGAAUUCUUGAGCGCUCAAAUCCAAUUAGGCAGCAUCUGCUGAGACAACCUCUUGGAUCGCCGCCUCAGCGCCUGUCGCCUGGUUCUGAAGAAGGGUUUCAGAUGCAAAACAUUAAGUCUGAUUCUUUUUCCAGAUGAUGCCUGAUCUGAUAACAUGUUCAACAAGCAGAUUACUCCAUGAUGUUGAGGGUUUGCAGCAAGUUUGUGUUCGGCUGCUGGAAUUCAAGAACUCCGACUUUGAAACACACCAGAAAGCAACUGAGUUUUGCAAUCAAGUCUCUGUUCGUGAGGGGUUCUUGAAUUUGCUGAUACCUGUAGAGGUAAAUGCCUGCCAUCAAACUUCAGGUCCAAUUUAAUUAAAUAGAAGAUGGUUGCACGACGCAGCUUGCGCAGCCACUCCGGUGAAUGAUAUCUGUAAUCUGACAAGUAGGGUGCCGUGCACAAUCCUGAUUUGAUGGAGAAAGAUGUCAGAGAACAGAGGAACAUCUGGAGAAACCUCUGAAAUGCGCUUUUCGCUGCUGCUGUUACUGUGUGAUCCAGAAUCUCCGGAGGGGAAGGCCCCAAAUCCUCAGCUUUGCUUGUUGCUCGGCGGCUGGGACGGAGUUGAAGUGCUCGGUGCUCGGUGUCAAAGGGCUGGUUGGAGGCUCGAGGUUUUCGGACAGACUCAGAGCCCCCAUAAGUGAAUGAAACUGCAAAGGAUACCAUCAAAGAUUUGAAUCUCUGUUUUAGGCGGAGAUGCAAUGCAUGGUUGUUGCAUCACUAUGUCUGUUAUUUCUUUUUGCAUCCUUAUGGCCUCCAGCACAGCACUUAGACCUUUAUCACCUGAAACACAACUGUCACCAUACUGUAAGUCAAUGUUCUCAGAGGCACUUUGUGCUAUCGGAUAUGGCUUAGGUUCAGAGUACCUCCUUGGUGCAGGCUAUCAGUGAGCACCCCUUGGGGUUCAAACUCGUGGCUGAUAGAUUUUUGAUUUUCAGGUGUAUCCACAUUGACAUCAAGUAUGCUGGAUUUUCUCUGUUCCAUGUCAACAUAGGAACCCUCACCAUAGGACUGCCCUGCUGGAGCA